UCUGGGUCGCAUGGUUACUCGCCGUGGUUUGCUUCAAUUAUCGUCAAACNGGUGUUGUAGCUUCCCGGUGUUGUAGUCGUGUAACCUUUCUNCCGUGUCUGUUUUCACUAACAGGUGCUGGUUUCGACUGGCAUGCNUUCGGGUGCUCUUAACUGGGUGUCCGGAGCGGGCGGCACGUUUACUUUGAACAAAUUUGAGUGCUCAAAGCAGGCCGUAGAGCCUGAAAAGUCUUGCAUGGAAUAAUAAAAUAGGACUUCGGUUCUAUUUUGUUGGUUUUCGGAUCCGACCUAAU
rnacentral:rRNA from 1 species